GAGUGUUCAGCUGUGAGCGAAAGCCUUGAAAACUUUAGAAAAUUUAGUAAAUUAACACCCU
rnacentral:tRNA from 1 species